ensembl:lincRNA
CGUUUACUGAGAGACUGUUGGUCUGGUCCUAAGAAUUCACCGGCCCUCCGGGAAGGAAGCCCAGGCUUCCAGAAGCGUUUGCCUUGGGGACUUCUCUGCCUGCCCCGAGCUCUGGAGUCAGAGUCCAGCACCCAGCUGAGUGGGUCUGCGCGGGGUUGCCCGGUGUCACUGGGCAAAGAGGGCAGAGACUCCCGGGGCUGUCCCUGAACACACCGUGGGCCCAGAAUCCAGCCUGCUCUGGCUCUGUCUCUCUGCAGUGUCUUCAUCUGUCCCAGGGCUGUCUGCAUUUUCCCACGUGGCGGCACCAGGCUCAGGUGCCUUUGGAGCGCUUGAAACAGGGCCAGAACAAACUGAGAUGUGUGAAACGGAUCCUGGAGCGAAAUACCAAGCCACCCGCUGACCAAUGGGGUUCCUGUAGGACGCCUCUGCUCGUUGAAUGGUGCAAAUCUGCGCAUCAGUCGUGGUUUCCGCUUCCCGUCCAUACCUGCUGCUGGGGCACGGCUCCCGUAUGGGUGAGCUUCGUCCACAUUGUUCAUGGAUGUGGCCCUUGGGUUCUUCGUGUUGAAUGCACAGUAGGGGCUCAGUUUACCGGGAAUGAACGAACGAGGGUGGACCCAGGAAGGGUCCCAUUUCCCACCAACCGAAUCUUUGGUUGUUCUAGAGAAAUUCCACGUACACAGGUUCUUCCUGUAUAAUCUCCUCCUUUUCCCCCUCCUUUUCUCUUUUUCAGUACUGGUUAUUGAGUCCUGGGCCUUCACGCUGAACUGGUUUCCUACCCCCACCCCCCAUUUUUUGAGACAGUCAUAUUCUGUAGUUCAGGCUGGGCUUGGACUCACUGCGUGGCCAGGCUGGCUUCAAACUCAUGGUGAUCCUCCUGCCUCAGCCUCCGGAGUGCUGGGAUGCUAGGAAUGCACCACUAUGCACGGUAUAAAGAUCCACUUUAACCUCUCGGUUAUGCCAUGGCCCCCUCCUUGGGUUCCAUAAUUUGCUAUAAUGACUCACAGAAUUUAGGGAGACAUUUCCGGUGUAUAACUAAUGGGACAGUUGCAUAGACCAUGGGAGUGGGGCGAGGCAGGGACUUACCUGCUCUCUCUGGGGAGCUCACUGAGCCUCAAACAUUUUACAGAGGUUCCACUCCACGGGAUGAUGACUGAAAUCACUGGCCUGUGGAGGCCAAUCACGAUGGCGCUAAAUCUCCAGCCCUAUCUGGGAUUUGUGUGACCACACACCUGUCCGCAUGUGGGGUUUGGGUAUCAUCACUCAGCUGUCUAUUCUGGCAACCAGCCCCCAACCUGAAGCUGUCCAGGGGCUUUCAGCUGCUGGUUCACCGUUGCUGUACACAGACUAUCACUACUGCAAUACUGAGGAGACCUCAGCACCUGGGGCAAAGUUUGAUAAACAGAAGAAAUAGGCUUUAGUGAGGUUUUUUUUUUUGGCACCAGGGAUUGAACUCAGGACCUUGCACUUGUGAGGCAGAUGGCGGAACCACUGAGCUAAAUCCCUGGCCCUGUGAACUAUUGUUUUGAGACAGAGUCUUGCUUUGUAGUUCAGGCUGGCCUUGAACUCCCAGCGAUCCUCCUGCCUCAGCCUCUUGAGUAUUGGGAUUAUAGGCCUGUGCCACCAUAUCCAGCUAAAUUUUAUUUUCGGGUAGGUUUCCACUAAGUAGCUGGGUGUGGUGGUGCGUGCCUGUAAUCCCAGUACCGGGAAGGCUGAAGAAAGCGGAUCACUGUGAGUUUGAGGCCAGCCUGAACUGCAAAGCAAAGCAAGACCCUAUCUCAAAAAACACAACAACAAAAUGAAAUCUGUUUGUUGUAAUGAUGUACUUUGUCACAAGACAAAACCAGUGCUUAUCAUCUGGUUUCUCUGUAUUUUACAAUGAGUGCACGCUGAAAUGAAUUUUGACAACUCUAUGUGGCCUUGUGAGCACCACUGCAUUGCAAAUGUAGAAUAGUUUCCUCAUAACCCCAAACUCCCUCGCAUCCCCUCCUAGUCAGCCCCUUCCCACUACCCUGUGGUCUCUCCAUCUUUGACCUGCCCUUUCUGAAAUUUCAUAGAAAUGGAAUGCCAUCUUCAGUGGUCUGGCUUUUUUCACAUUGCUGAUACUGCUGAG